AGAACGAACGCUGGCGGCGCGUUUAAGCAUGCAAGUCGAGCGGCAAGGGCCUUCGGGCCCCUAGAGCGGCGGACGGGUGAGUAACACGUGGACAAUCGUCGCCCCCCGGCCCGGGAUAGCCCAGGGAAACCUGGAUUAGUACCGGAUGAGACGGGACCCGCGAUGGCGGGAUCCGGGAAAGGCGCUGCGGCGCCGCCGGGGGAUGAGUCUGCCGUCCCAUUAGCUGGACGGCGGGGUAACGGCCCACCGUGGCGACGAUGGGUAGCCGGCCUGAGAGGGUGGACGGCCACAUUGGAACUGAGACACGGUCCAGACUCCUACGGGAGGCAGCAGCUAAGAAUCUUCCGCAAUGGGCGAAAGCCUGACGGAGCGACGCCGCCGUGAACGAAGAAGGCCGUGAGGUUGUAAAGUUCUUUUCGGGAGGGGGAACAACCGUGGCAGGGAAUGGCCGCGGGAUGACGUGAAUCCCGGAAUAAGCCCCGGCUAACUACGUGCCAGCAGCAGC
rnacentral:rRNA from 1 species